rnacentral:lncRNA from 1 species
AUGGAAAUACAGACUGUUUUAUUGAAUGUAUUUACAGCUGACUACAGAGGAGAACAAUAUUAAACAAGGCGUUGUGUAGUUUACAUCAUAUCUCGUGCGUUUUACAUUUGACAGCUCAGCUCCUCAAUACUCCAACAGACAGAACACCAUACAGUUCCUAAUUAAAGUUUCAGUUCCUUCCUUCUUCAAAGGGUUUUUGUCUAUUUAAUAAAAGCUAAAAGCAUAAUAGCAAAUGUUGAAUUCUUGUUAGAUUUAUUUAUUGAUGAACCUCUUUUACUUUAAAAGGUGCACGAUUGUAGCCUGGUCCCUGAUCUGUUUGUGCUGUCUUGGCAACUCUUAGACGGUCAUUAGAGUUGACAAGACAGCGCAAACAGAAAUGAGACCAGGCUAACUGAGACUGUGCAAGUGACUCUCAUUCUACACACUUUGCAUGGCAUCUCUGUCUUAGCAUGAGUUCCAAAUCAGAUUCAGAACAAGAUGACAAGAUAAUGACAAGAUAACCUACUGUACAGUUUGCCUGUCCAUAUCUCUCAUUCCAUUCAACAGAGUUCCUUCCUGUAGUAUCUCUUUCAUUCCCUUCUUGACUUCCCUCAGUCUAUCUCUCUCUCUCUCUCUCUCUCUCUCUCUUUCUCUCUGUCUUCAUCCCUCCCCCCACUUCACUCACAGUAACAGUCCACCAGUAAAAAAACAAAAAAUUGGGAAUACUUAAUGAGCUUGGUAGUUUAAAGCACCUGGCCACAUCACCUAAAUGGCUUAUGGUUCCUUCUAGAAGCCCGAGAUGUUACUGCUGUUAGCCUCUCUAGACAGACGGGUUGCCUUCAUACUUCCAUAAUACUUCACACACCACAUUCAGACCAGUGGGAUGAAUAGGCCUCGGGGAAAAGACCCGUGUCUACCUGGACAGGUAUAACCUACACCUGUCCAGGUUAACUGUAAAUUAUUCCAUUUGAAACCAGUUCAGAUCUUUUAGUUCUUUAAGAUCUUUACAUCUUAUGACACUGUAUAUUACGCUAACAUGCACAAGCGCGUUUUGGCAUGUAUGUAAUGUUGUUGCUUGAGGAAUGAAAGAAACGCUGGUGUGGGACAGGUAGACAGGUGGACAGGUGUAACCUACACCUGGGUUUGGGUUUGAGUAACAGAGAGUGGAGGAAUUAGUUAGAGAAGGAUGGGAUAAGGACGUCUGCCUAUAUUGAGGUGGAUGGUAGGACAGGGGUCACCUGACCCCAUCGCACUCCGGCCGGUUGGUCAGUCGGCAGGUAGUUAGAUUGGGAUAGGUAGUUAGAUUGGGAUAGGUAGUUAGAUUGGGAUAGGUAGUUAGAUUGGGAUAGGUAGUUAGAUUGGGAUAGGUAGUUAGAUUGGGAUCCAGUGGUGGAACAGGGGUAGGAGGAGUAACGGGUAGUUAGAUUGGGAUAGGUAGUUAGAUUGGGAUAGGUUGUUAGAUUGGGAUCGGUAGUUAGAUUGGGAUCGGUAGUUAGAUUGGGAUAGGUAGUUAGAUUGGGAUAGGUAGUUAGAUUGGGAUCCAGUGGUGGAACAGGGGUAGGAUGAGUAGCAGGUAGUUAGAUUGGGAUAGGUAGUUAGAUUGGGAUAGGUAGUUAGAUUGGGAUCCAGUGGUGGAACAGGGGUAGGAGGAGUAACGGGUAGUUAGAUUGGGAUAGGUAGUUAGAUUGGGAUAGGUUGUUAGAUUGGGAUCGGUAGUUAGAUUGGGAUAGGUAGUUAGAUUGGGAUAGGUAGUUAGAUUGGGAUAGGUAGUUAGAUUGGGAUCCAGUGGUGGAACAGGGGUAGGAAGAGUAGCAGGUAGUUAGAUUGGGAUAGGUAGUUAGAUUGGGAUAGGUAGUUAGAUUGGGAUCCAGUGGUUGAACAGGGGUAGGAAGAGUAGCAGGUAGUUAGAUUGGGAUAGGUAGUUAGAUUGGGAUAGGUAGUUAGAUUGGGAUAGGUAGUUAGAUUGGGAUCCAGUGGAGGAACAGGGGUAGGAAGAGUAGCAGGUAGUUAGAUUGGGAUAGGUAGUUAGAUUGGGAUCCAGUGGUUGAACAGGGGUAGGAAGAGUAGCAGGUAGUUAGAUUGGGUUAGGUAGUUAGAUUUGGAUCCAGUGGUUGAACAGGGGUAGGAAGAGUAGCAGGUAGUUAGAUUGGGAUAGGUAGUUAGAUUGGGAUCCAGUGGUGGAACAGGGGUAGGAAGAGUAGCAGGUAGUUAGAUUGGGAUAGGUAGUUAGAUUGGGAUAGGUAGUUAGAUUGGGAUCCAGUGGAGGAACAGGGGUAGGAAGAGUAGCAGGUAGUUAGAUUGGGAUAGGUAGUUAGAUUGGGAUAGGUAGUUAGAUUGGGAUAGGUAGUUAGAUUGGGAUAGGUAGUUAGAUUGGUAUCCAGUGGAGGAACAGGGGUAGGAAGAGUAGCGGGUAGCUGAGACUUCCUCCCAGAUUGGAUGUGUUUCCUGUCACGUUGCAGUCAUUAAAGAAACAGCAGUGAAAUCUGACCCCUGGCAACCUGUAACCCUGACUGUUGGCCUGGCUACAGAAAGACUUGUAGGAGCAGGACUUCAUCACUCCGCCU